UGAUAUUGGUGUCGGAACUGACAUCCUUUUUUCCCUGCUGAGGUAUGUGACAAUUCUCACGUCACACGUCCGUCAUGAUGCUGGUAUAAAGAAGGUCGGUCCAACUAUUUCAGUGAUCACAUUUUCAGAGGGACUGUGGCUGCUGGUUGCGUCUGUGCUUGAAGUUCUAGCCAAAUCAUCAUAAGGAUGUCAAAAAUGAUGGUUGUUCAUCUCGGAGUGAUUGUGUUCGCUAUAUGUUUAUCGACACAGGUGGUCUCCCAAAACACCACAUCGGGCAACCCGCCCGGCGUAGGUUCCAGCGUCAACUCCACCAUGGUCACGGACACGUACAGCAGCUCGGCCAACUCCACCUCCCCUACCGGAGUGGGCAUGUCACUGCAGUCCAGCCACUUCUCCCUCCUGCUCCCCAUCGUCAUGGCGACCUGGCUCCUGCACUGCUUUUGUUGAACCCAUAACCCUUGAUCCACCCUCCUGUUACCACCACUCCCCUCAACCGCACUGAACCAAGACCACAAUCCUAACAUCCAGCAGCCAAAAUGGACUCCACAUCACCCACACCCACUCGUUCGCCCCCACAGAAAAAAGAAAAUCCUAGUGCUGACUUUUUUUUCUGGGGGGGGGACGUUAGUUGGAGAGGAAGCCGCCACCAUCAACCCCUCGCACCCCUCCCCUAUCUCGAAACCCCAUACGGAACCUCAACAUGGCUUCUUGCUCUGCCAACCCUCAAGACCUGCAUUUCCAUAGUAACACAACCAACAUCCUGGUUAUCAGUCUGGGGUAUUCUGGGGUAUGUAGGCCUAUAGGGAAGUGGUUGUCAUGUCAGGUCUCUUGAAAAAAAUGUGGACCACUUGUGUGUACAGAAGUUCUUAUUGUAGUUUUAAUUUCACCUGGGAAAUAAUUCUAAAUUAGUUUUGUAUGUGCCCUGCCCAAAGAGAAGGUUGCACAUAGAUUAUUAAAGAGAAACUCAAGCCUCUUUUAAUUAAACUAUUUUAAAUGGUCACGAUUUGGCACUUUUUGAGUUUUUUGUUAUUGGAAAUGUACCAGAAGAUGUGUUGUAUGUAGAGAUAAUAAGAUUGAUACUGGGCUUGUGUCGGUAUACCUUGUGAUUUAUAAAGAGUUUCUGGUCUUUUACAAGGAGGGUAUAACUGGCAUCUCUCCCUUUCGAUGCCUGGUUGGUCCUAACAAAAUGACUGUACUGUAACCAUGUGGGAAGGGUUGAUGUUAAAUUUAUAUACCCCCUUAUAGUUUAUAUUUUGUAUAAAUGGCAAUGUUACAAUGUUAGUUUUUGUUAAAUCUUCUGAAAUAAUGGGAAGGAAUGACAAUGUACAAUAAAUUAUACUUAAAAAUA
ensembl:lncRNA